rnacentral:rRNA from 1 species
GGCUUGUUGAUAAUAAUUUCAAGUYUGACCUGCCCAAUGAGUUUAGUUUAAUGGCCGCGGUAUAUUGACCGUGCAAAGGUAGCAUAAUCAUUAGUUUUUUAAUUGGAAGCUAGAAUGAAGGGUUUAAUGAGAAAAUUUCUGUCUCUAGGAAAGUUUUUUAGAAUUUUAUUUUUAAGUGAAAAGGCUUAAAUGUAUAUAGAAGACGAGAAGACCCUAUAGAGUUUAAUAUUUACUUUUGUAAUAUGAUUUUUGGUUUAAAAAAAUUGAUUUUUAACUUAAAUAUUUUAUUGGGGUGAUUAAAAAAUUUAAAAAACUUUUUUAUAUAAUAAACAUUGAUUUGUGAUUGAAUGAUCCUAUAUUUUAGAUUAAAAGAUUAAAUUACCUUAGGGAUAACAGCGUAAUUUUUUUUUAGAGCUCUGAUCGAAAAAAGAGAUUGCGACCUCGAUGUUGGAUUAAAAUAAAUUCUUGGUGUAGAAGCUAAGGGAUUAAGUCUGUUCGACUUUUAAAAUUUUACAUGAUCUGAGUUUAAACCGGUGUGAG